UUUCCGUAGGUGAACCUGCGGAAGGAUCAUUCAUAAUAAGUGUUUUAUGGCACUUUUUUAAAUCCAUAUCCACCUUGUGUGCAAUGUCAGGGUUGAUUUUUCUCUCGAGAGGAUCAACCCCAAACAUCAACUAUACCUCAACUCUUUGUCUGAAAAAUAUUAUGAAUAAAACAAUUCAAAAUACAACUUUCAACAACGGAUCUCUUGGUUCUG
rnacentral:misc_RNA from 1 species